AAAUGUCAAUUUCAAAUGUAUCUUUUAUUGAUAAACAUAAUUUAUAAAAUUGUAAACAAAAGAAGAAUUAAGAUACAUUUCGAUACAUAGAGUAUUUUUGGUGACUGUGACAUAAUGAAGUUGGGAUAUGAUAAACUUAUUGUAUCAUUUACUGGCGCACACAUGAUAAGAAAUAUGAUAUUAAUAUUUUAUCAUCUUAUGGGUUUAAAACAUAUUUAAUAGUCACAUAAUAAGAUAUAUGUAUAAGGCUUCAACCCUUAUAACACACCCUUUUAAACAAGAAGGACUUGUAUCUUCAAGCGCCACAAACUGAAAUCAUUCACACCGGUGAAUUUCUCAAUCUCAUAUUUUGUUGAUGACAUCUUCUCCUCCAC
rnacentral:lncRNA from 1 species